AUUGUGAUUUAGGAUGGCUUCCCUGGGCAACUAACUCAGCGUUACAGAAAACUCUAUGCCCUCUCAGACUGAAUUAAGAGCCAGACUGUGUGGAUUUUCAGAGAUCCACACCACUGUGAAUACAAGGGUUUGUAGUAUUUCCACACGACACAGAGACAGCUCUCCAGCCUUUCUUUGGGGAGUUGCAUAACCUCUCUCUGCCUUGAUUUCUCCAUCUGUCUGAGCUCAGCGUCAUUGUGUCUGGCUUCGGUGUGCAUGUAACUUAGCAGUAUUUCAUGCUCUGCUUGUGUCUGGUAGCUGCCUUCAAGGACACCACAUGGAAGGGGAGGAAGCAUCUUGGACAGAGCUGAACUAACAAAAGGAAAAGAAUGAGCCAACCAAUGUUUGAGGAAGAGAGAGAAAGGCGAAGCCAACACUGCAGAUGAUGUGUGUGAGUGAAGGUCACCCUCCAGUUACCCAACAGCACAAAGUGGAUGACUCCACCUUUCCAUGUGACGUUUUUCAGCAUGACUUUGGAAGUCCUCUUGGCUGGAAGAGAGCUGGACAGACUAUAUGCAGAGAUCCAUCACAGGCUGGCUCAGGUGACGCCAACAUGAGUUCUUCAGUUAGAUAAUGGAAGCAAGGCUAAAGAGUGGACAAGUUCUCAACUGCAGAGAAGGGAUACACCAUGAUCUUCACAGACAGAACUAAUAUCCUUGUCUGGCUUUUUAGCCCAUUUCUCAAUGCAAAUGAAAGGAUUUUUUUUUAAUAAUAAAUAGAAGAAACGUCAUGGAGCAAAUGGCACAUUAGGGAUCAACUCAGACAAGACUGAUCUAUCACUUAUCAAAUGCACCAACAGUUAAAAGAACCCAAAUGUAUGUAUUCAAUAGGAACUCAUUCCUGACCAUAUUUAUGGUGAAGAUGGUACUUGUGUUGUGGGGGUUACACAUUGAUUUGACAGGUCUCAUAAAAAUCUUGGUAGCAAAGGUAAGAAGCAACAAGGCAUGAUUACUAAAGUCUGUGUUAGUGUGAUGGUGAAGCAGGGAUUGCCAGCCAAGUGCUUUGUAAAGGAGAAGUACCCUGAGCCCUUCUUUUCACUGAAAACCUACAAAGGACUUCCUUCUGCUGUUUGGGCUGUGAGCAGAGAGGUUACAACAAACCAAGUAGUGCAGAAACAUUGAGUCCUCUUUGCAGAGGGGCUCCAGAGGAGACCCCCACAGGAACAACCAAGCCCAGGGUUCAAAAGGGUGCCCAUGCCCAGAAUCCAGAAGGGUGAUGCAGCUACGGUAGGCAAUCAACACCAGUAAAUGCCACUUUCCAUUCUGAAAUAAGAGAGGGAUAAGGCCAACACAGACACAGUAUGUCUGGGUCUGGGAGUAGGCAGCAAUGGAGGAAGGGGUGAACCAAGUGAUGAGAAGACAUGCCAUCUAGCAGAUGCUCGAUGUCCUUGUCCAAAGCAAUGUUGAUCAAGGAAAAAAAAACCCACGCACUACCAAGUGCUUGCUAUAUUUGUGCUGCAUAUUCUAAAAGGACCGAUUUAUGCACCAGGCCUGAGCUAAGUUUGAACUCAGCUCCAGGUGUAUGCUUAAGAUUUCUUGAUUUCUGCCCUUCAGCUGACCAAUGUGAGAAGCAGGGUGCAUGGAAAGCCCAAUGCACUGAUUCAGAGACGGACAUGCAGUAGACACACUGUUUUCGCCUUUGCCAUCAUGCCUUAAAACUUUCAAUACACCUCUACGUUCAGAACCUGAGCCUGGCUUUGCAGGUACACCCUCCUAGGAAGCUCAUGUUCUCCUUUAAAUAUUCAGGAAACAGAAUUUAGUUAGAUCUUUAGAAAGAACAUUUUCAUGUAACUAAUUUUAACACUAUUUCAAAGAAAAUGACGGAAACAGAAAUAUUUUUACUUGAAUCUGAUCACUAGUUAUCACCAGGAAAUGACUAAUUUCUCAUACAUGUAUGUAACACAAACUGAAUUCCUCCCCUGUCUUUAACCUCCUCUUCAUUUAAAAGGGUAUUAGGCCUGAACUAUGACCCCUUGGAAUCUAAGGUGCGGGUUCUUAGUGGGGCUGUGUCUGGAGUUGGAGCCUUUCGGAAGCAAACUAGGCUUAACAAGGCCAUAAAGAUAAGAUCAAUGUCCUCAGACAGG
rnacentral:lncRNA from 1 species